AGGGAGCAGAGCGGACCACGAGGGAGGUCGGGAUCAAGGGAGGGAGAAGGAAGAGAGAGGAAGGGUGAGGGUGAGGCGUGUGGGGGCGGCUGCCUGUGUCAGCCAGGGAGCUGGUUUUGUUCUCCUGUUUCCUGUUUGCUGGGCUCCCCCUCCGUGCAGGAGCUGGACCCCCCACCCCCACCCUGGCGGAAGCCAGAUGGGAAGAGUGAGGCUGCCACGAGCUGAGUCAGGAGAGCUUAGGGGGAGAGCGGGAAAGGACUGCAGCCGGAGAGAGCAGGACGCGCCAUCUCCAUUGGCACCCUCUCCCGCCCCACUUCCAUCGCUAGAAAACUAAGGAUUCGGUGUUGGGACCACUCCUGCCCUGACCUGCCCUGUGACUCCGUCAUACUCUCCAAAGGCCAGACCCUCCUAGACCAGCUGGAACCACCAUCAAGAUGUCCCCAGCCAUGUCAGACUCUGGGGCCCCAAGCGGAGGGCAACCAGAUGUCUUCAGCUCCAAGUCUGGCCUCUCCUCCCAGCAAGCAGCCACCUCUGAUGGCCAACAGGUGCUGCUGUGUGCCCAGAUCAAGAAUCCACCUCUGCGGAAUUCAAAACCGCUGAGGAUUCUGGGACAGCAGGGAGGAGAGAGGUGGAGACGCAACAUGGGUUUUCUGUGUUCAGACUGCAGAGACCUUGGAAAGGAUCAACCAUAUACAAUGUCCAUUUCCUGCCCUCUAACCUGGCAGGGGAGCAAGGCCCAGCCAAGGAGUUACAGAAACUGAGGCUUGGCCAGGCGUGGUGGCUCACACCUGCAAUCUCAGCACUGGGAGGCCAAGGUGGGCAGAUCGCUUGAGCCCAGGAGUUUGAGACCAGCCUGAGGAACAUGGCGAAACCCCAUCUCUACAAAAAAUACAGAAAUUAGCCAAGUGUGGUGGCACGUGUCUGUAGUUUCAGCUACUCAGGAGGCUUAGGUGGGAGGAUCACCUGAGCCUGGGAGGUAGAGGUUGCAAUGAGCAGAGAUCACGCCAUUGCUCUCCAGCCAGGGAGACAGAGUGAGACCCUGUCCCAAAAUAAAUAAAUAAAUAAGAAUAAAAUUUAAAAAAGAAACUGAGGCUCAAAGAGAACAAGUGACUAGUUCAAGGACUCAUUUUCACUAAGCUGGGACCAGAUCCCAGGGUUCUAACCGCUUACCAGAUCCUUUUCCAUUACCCUCUUGUUUAACCACAUCUUGAGUACCUGCUGUGGGCCAGGAGCUGAGAUACUUUGGAGAGUCUUUCAGGAAUAUUGUCCCAGCUCCUGAAACCUUUAGGGAUCCCCAAGUUCUAGACUCUGGCCAAAGCCGGCUGCCUUCACCCCCACCAAGGGAGACCCCCACAAACCAAGGGAGCCCUGCUCUCAGGUGCACAGGGCCUCUUCUCUCUGGGAGGUGACAGUUUUUUGAGGGUGGGGCCAGACACCUCCCAGGCUAUCCCUCACAGGAGAGGAUGGUCUGGACUGGAGGAGUAGAAGCAAGUAGGCACUGGGGAAGGGGAGGAGAGCGUCCUGAGUCCCAAGGGUCAGAGAUAGGAGCAAGAAGGAAACUGACGUGUUGCAGGGCGUGUGGUUCAGGAAGUGAGAGAGGGGCUCAGGGUCGAUUCUGCCUGCUUUUCCUUCCUCCAGCUUGCUCAGCACUCUUCCCAGAAUGUGGGCCCCAAACUGCCAGGUGACAAACAAUGCCCCC